CACGAAUAAUUUUAUACAUCCAUGGAAGGAAAAAAUACUCAUCACACCAGAUAGUGUAUUGUCAUUUGAUACGUUAACUAAUUCCCAUUCGCCUCCCAUUGGACAUUUCACCGUGAUGCGUAGACGGUCUUCCACUCGAUCAUAAUUAGUAACAUUAUAUAUUUCCAUCUCAAAUUUCCGAAAUGAGAUAUCACGUCGGACCACAACCAAUUCUUUACGGCCACCAAUAUAUCGUGAUACAUUAUUGUUCUCGACAAAAUUUCUGUCCCAAUGGAUAUAGAAAGGAACACAGUCGCCAGAUAUAGAGUUCUAAAGUAAUAUAAUAAAAUGUAAAUAAAUAUU
rnacentral:lncRNA from 1 species